AAUUUUCUUUGAAACACCAAAUUUAUCAUAGCCAUGAUAUUGUUUGAAAAUCAUUUGUAAUGCAUUUGCUUCCCUGAUUGCAUGACACAUUUGAAGAACAUUUAAACUUUUUCUUCAUUUAAGCAUUGGGGAAAACAUCAUGUCCAGUUCAUAGAUUUUUGUGAAGUUACAAAUUCCAAAGAUAAGUUGCGGGCCAUAUGUCAUGCAGUGCUAUCUGUGGAUUGCAACAAGAAGGCUGUGAUGAAGGGCAUAACACAUGGGGCGUGCGACUAUUUGGUGAAACCAGUGUGCACCAACGAGCUAAAAAAAUAUAUGGCAACAUGUUGAAAGGAGGAGAAAUGAUGAUGAUGAUGAUGAUGAUGAUGAUGAUGAUGACGAUGGAGUGCAGCCAAGGACUGCUGCCACGAGCAAGGACUCGGAGAAUAAGGGCAAUGAAGGAUAUGAUUCUAGCAAGAACCAAGAGAUCACACACAUAUCCACCACCAGGAAGAAGCCAAGGGUGGUAUGGACAGUUGAGCUUCAGAACAAAUUUCUAGAAGCUAUUGACCAGAUCGGC
rnacentral:lncRNA from 1 species